rnacentral:rRNA from 1 species
AGAAUCAACGCUGGCGGCGUGCCUAACACAUGCAAGUCGCACGAGAAAGUGGAGCAAUCCACGAGUAAAGUGGCGCACGGGUGAGUAACACGUGAAUGAUCUACCUCCGAGUGGGGAAUAACUGAGAGAAAUCUUAGCUAAUACCGCAUAACACUUACGAGUCAAAGCAGCAAUGCGCUUGGAGAGGAGUUCGCGGCCGAUUAGCUAGUUGGCGGGUAAUGGCCCACCAAGGCGAUGAUCGGUA